UUAAAUUGAAGAGUUUGAUCAUGGCUCAGAUUGAACGCUGGCGGCAGGCCUAACACAUGCAAGUCGAACGGUAACAGGAAGCAGCUUGCUGCUUUGCUGACGAGUGGCGGACGGGUGAGUAAUGUCUGGGAAACUGCCUGAUGGAGGGGGAUAACUACUGGAAACGGUAGCUAAUACCGCAUAACGUCGCAAGACCAAAGAGGGGGACCUUCGGGCCUCUUGCCAUCGGAUGUGCCCAGAUGGGAUUAGCUAGUAGGUGGGGUAAAGGCUCACCUAGGCGACGAUCCCUAGCUGGUCUGAGAGGAUGACCAGCCACACUGGAACUGAGACACGGUCCAGACUCCUACGGGAGGCAGCAGUGGGGAAUAUUGCACAAUGGGCGCAAGCCUGAUGCAGCCAUGCCGCGUGUAUGAAGAAGGCCUUCGGGUUGUAAAGUACUUUCAGCGGGGAGGAAGGGAGUAAAGUUAAUACCUUUGCUCAUUGACGUUACCCGCAGAAGAAGCACCGGCUAACUCCGUGCCAGCAGCCGCGGUAAUACGGAGGGUGCAAGCGUUAAUCGGAAUUACUGGGCGUAAAGCGCACGCAGGCGGU
rnacentral:rRNA from 1 species